GGAGAGGUACCAAAGUGGUUGACUGGGACAGUCUUGAAAACUGUUGAGCCCGCAAGGGUUCCGAGGGUUCGAAUCCCUCCCUCUCCG
rnacentral:tRNA from 1 species